UGCCGAGAGGUGAAAGCUAUAGUGCCUGAAGAUGAGCUCGCGUCUGAUUAGCUAGUUGGUGGUGUAAUGGACCACCAAGGCGACGAUCAGUAGCUGGUCUGAGAGGAUGAUCAGCCACACUGGGACUGAGACACGGCCCAGACUCCUACGGGAGGCAGCAGUGGGGAAUUUUCCGCAAUGGGCGAAAGCCUGACGGAGCAAGACCGCGUGAGGGAGGAAGGCCUACUGGUUGUAAACCUCUUUUGAUAGGGAAGAACACAAUGACGGUACCUAUCGAAUCAGCAUCGGCUAACUCCGUGCCAGCAGCCGCGGUAAUACGGAGGAUGCAAGCGUUAUCCGGAUUUAUUGGGCGUAAAGCGUCCGUAGGUGGAUGGCCAAGUCAGUUGUUAAAGCGUGGAGCUUAACUCCAUAACGGCAAAUGAAACUGGUCGUCUAGAGUGCGACAGGGGCAAGGGGAAUUCCCAGUGUAGCGGUGAAAUGCCUAGAUACUGGGAAGUUCAUC
rnacentral:rRNA from 1 species